UUUCCGUAGGUGAACCUGCGGAAGGAUCAUUAAAGAGAAUAUGCCCUUCGGGGUAGAUCUCCCACCCUUUGUUUAUAUUACCUUUGUUGCUUUGGCAGGCCCGUCUUCGGACCACCGGCUUCGGCUGGUCAGUGCUUGCCAGAGGACCCUAAACUCUUAUUAUUAAUGUCGUCUGAGUACUAUAUAAUAGUUAAAACUUUCAACAACGGAUCUCUUGGUUCUG
rnacentral:misc_RNA from 1 species